rnacentral:rRNA from 1 species
GACGAACGCUGGCGGCGUGCCUAAUACAUGCAAGUCGAACGCAGUGGGGACGGGUGAGUAAAACGUGGGUAACCUCCAAUCAGAGGGGAGAACACUUGGAAACCGGUGCUAAAACGAGACGGAUGGCAGGACGCGCGGUGCAUUAGCUAGUUGGUGAGGUAACGGCUCACCAAGGACACGAUGCAUAGCCGACCUGAUAGGGUGAUCGGCCACACUGGUACGGAGACACGGCCCAGACUCCUACGGGAGGCAGCAGUAGGGAAUCUUCGGCAAUGGACGAAAGUCUGACCGAGCAACGCCGCGUGAGUGAAGAAGGUUUUCGGAUCGUAAAACUCUGUUGUUAGAGAAGCGGUAUCUAACCAGAAAGCCACGGCUAACUACGUGCCAGCAGCCGCGGUAAUUC